UACGUAGGUGGCAAGCGUUAUCCGGAUUUAUUGGGCGUAAGGCGAGCGCAGGCGGUUGCUUAGGUCUGAUGUGAAAGCCUUCGGCUUAACCGAAGAAGUGCAUCGGAAACCGGGCGACUUGAGUGCAGAAGAGGACAGUGGAACUCCAUGUGUAGCGGUGGAAUGCGUAGAUAUAUGGAAGAACACCAGUGGCGAAGGCGGCUGUCUGGUCUGCAACUGACGCUGAGGCUCGAAAGCAUGGGUAGCGAACAGG
rnacentral:rRNA from 1 species